AACGAACGCUGGCGGCAUGCCUAACACAUGCAAGUCGAACGAGACCUUCGGGUCUUGUGGCGCACGGGUGCGUAACGCGUGGGAACCUGCCCUUAGGUUCGGAAUAACUCCCCGAAAGGGGUGCUAAUACCGGAUAAUGUCUUCGGACCAAAGAUUUAUUGCCUUUGGAUGGGCCCGCGUUGGAUUAGCUAGUUGGUAGGGUAAAAGCCUACCAAGGCGACGAUCCAUAGCUGGUCUGAGAGGAUGAUCAGCCACACUGGGACUGAGACACGGCCCAGACUCCUACGGGAGGCAGCAGUGGGGAAUAUUGUACAAUGGGCGAAAGCCUGAUCCAGCAAUGCCGCGUGAGUGAUGAAGGCCUUAGGGUUGUAAAGCUCUUUUACCCGGGAUGAUAAUGACAGUACCGGGAGAAUAAGCACCGGCUAACUCCGUG
rnacentral:rRNA from 1 species